rnacentral:lncRNA from 1 species
GUUAGGUUAGGUUAGGUUAGGUUAGGUUAGGUUAGGUUAGGUUAGGUUAGGUUAGGUUAGGUUAGGUCAGGUUAGGUUAGGUUAGGUUAGGUUAGGUUUCUCCCCCUCCCCCUAACACCCCACACUCCCAGGAGGUCUCCAAGCUUCUUAAACACAGAAAAAGAACAUAAGAUACGGUAUAUUGGUUGAAACUGCAAAUUUACCCAACAUUAUUAGGAUUAAUUUAAACUUUACAAAUACAAUUACACUUAAGACAAACAAAAAUAUAUACCAAAAAAUAUAAAACAGGAAAAAAGCUUCACAAAAUCUCAGAAUAGUUGAAGUGAAGCCUCGUUUGUUUCGGAAGUCGCGUCUCGAUGUCUCGUUUCGCUGCUUCACGGUGAUGGUGGUGGUGGUUGGUUCAGUUUUCAGUUGUGGUAGUGGUGGUGGUGGUGGUGGUGCGCGCUGGUCAGGGGCUGCAUCUCAGGCCCGGGGUUCGCUCCAGCCAGCGGGACAGCAGAUCCUGAAGGGACGGCUCCUCCUCCGAGACCAUGAUCGCCUUCAGGAUUUCAGGGUGGUCGCCAAACACCUUCUUGUACGUGUCCUGCUUGUAACGCACCCUGAGCUCCUGCAGAAGGCGACGAAGGAGCCUGAACUGGAAACUCUGGAAUCCUGACGCAGGGGAGAGGUAGUCACGGAACUCCAUGAAGUCUAAGGGCGUCAUAGUCUCCAGGAUGAGGAACUGGUCCACGCACAGCUGACGGAGGCACAGAAGGGGACAUAGAGAAUCUGGCGCAUCAUCCCAGUGGUCUGUGAACGCGUCGUGGUGAGGGAGCAGUGUCUCGGACGUGUUCAGAUCCUUACAUAACAUUCUGCAUCUCCACACACACACACACACACACACACACACAUACAGUGCUAACGUGACAAUGUACGAUGAUUGUCAGUGGAAGCAGUGGUUGGUUCAAGCCCGAAUUCAGAAAUGCUUCGCUCUCUUUCUCUCAUUCACCACGACUAUUUUCAAAGGCCACAGAGGUGAGGCGGGUUCUCAAGAAUGUUUUUUGUCCUGAUAGCAGUGUAGAAAUCUUGAUCUAUCACUAGACCCACAAAAACAUCCUUCCAAUUCCACCUAACGUGUACUGAAGCCUGCUGGAAAGAGUGGAGGUGUGGUUCAGAAGUGUUUCAGAUGAUGCUCCAUGAACCCUGAGUCAUGCGGGACAGACGUCAGUGUACCAUUUCCCUCGGACCUUCACAGCUGUCGGAGGCGCCGCCCGUACACUGCAUGUUCACCCCGCGGCUCGCUUAGCUGCCAAUACCAAGGCCUGGCUGUGGAGCAAUCCCGAGCCAUCUGUACCGUCAAGAUCAGGCUUGUGAUGGGGUGAGGAAAUGUAUCGUCACCACUGUUGACGAAAAUGUGAUGCCGAUUCACCAGUGGGAAGGAACCCCACCCUCCCUCCCUCUCCACUGGAGAGGAGGACAAGAGAGUCUUCCCCAGCAGCUGAAGAAUUUGUGGGGUGAUCAUCAGCCUGCCCUGUGUCCACAGAGCACUCAAUGACCAGCCAGCCCCCCACGUCACUGAAGAGUAUAUGUAAACGGGGAAGUUAAGAAGGGGAAUAGGCCUUCACAAAACCUUAUGUACAGUCAGUUACCUUGGAAAUCUCUGGAGAGAGAUUUCAUUGUCCAGAGAUUUCCAAGGUAGCAUUUCCAAGAUUGCAGAGUAACAAUGAAACAAGUUCAGUUUUCAAAAGAAAUCUUUAUUAAGAUUCUUCUACAAGAUCUCUGGAGAGCUUUAAGAGUAUUUUGACUCUGCAGUUUUUGAGGCCUUUCGGUCAAUUUUCAGUUUCACUUACCAAUUUUUUUUCCAAUGUGGUUUGUGUUUCUGGUGAGACAUGAAAACUGAUUGAUGUUCUACAUUUGUCACAAAUGUGUACUUUUCAAGCUCUGCCUACCUCUUUCCCAACAAUCUUGGGGGACCUGUGGGAAACCGGCAUUGGAUAGGUGAGCAUUAAUUUGUAAAUUGAGUAAUGCACGUUGCAAGUCAGGUCUAAAAUCAAAAAACAAAAUCUAUGAAGAUACAAACUACACUUUUGACAGAGGCAACAACAACUGUUAGGUUAUGCUGAACCUGAGUAGCAUUGUCAACUAUAGCAGCGCUGUCAAUAAAUUCACUGUAGACUCA